GUCUUCAGUUAAAUUGAAUUUGACACCCAUGUCUUAAAGGGACCAGAUCCUGUCUAAUCUUGGAAACUAAGCAAGUUUAGCCUUGGUUAGUACUUGAAAGGGAAACUUCCAAUGAAUAGUGGGUGCUGAAAGCU
rnacentral:rRNA from 11 species